GAAAGUUAGAAGUGAACCACGUAGCUGGUUCAAAGUCAUUUGUACUACUUCGUCACGACAUGCGAGAUUCCGUCACUGGCCAGGAGCCCGGACCAGUAGACUUCUACAAAGGGACUCACUGUCGACAGCGACAGGAUCUUGGGUACAUCCGAGAGCCAGCGAGAUUUGGGAGGAGAUGAACACCUUACGCAGUUAGCCCACUCCCGAUGGUACUCAGCGGAGUGAGCCAGAGAUCCUGAGUCAGGUGCUUGGCACCCGUUCUGGAUAUGUGUGUGGGUUUGGCCAUAGUACCAAACUCAUGACACCCGCUAGAGCUGCCUCCAGCCGAUCCAUCGUUAUUGGUGACAGCGCCGUACGCCGAGCUGAUACUGCAGAGAGAGAGGUUUAGCAGCUACGGG